rnacentral:rRNA from 1 species
GACGAACGCUGGCGGCGUGCUUAACACAUGCAAGUCGAACGGAAAGGCCCUGCUUUUGUGGGGUGCUCGAGUGGCGAACGGGUGAGUAACACGUGAGUAACCUGCCCUUGUCUUUGGGAUAACUUCAGGAAACUGGGGCUAAUACCGGAUAGGAGCUCCUGCUGCAUGGUGGGGGUUGGAAAGUUUCGGCGGUUGGGGAUGGACUAGCGGCUUAUCAGCUUGUUGGUGGGGUAGUGGCUUACCAAGGCUAUGACGGGUAGCCGGCCUGAGAGGGUGACCGGCCACAUUGGGACUGAGAUACGGCCCAGACUCCUACGGGAGGCAGCAGUGGGGAAUAUUGCACAAUGGGCGGAAGCCUGAUGCAGCAACGCCGCGUGCGGGAUGACGGCCUUCGGGUUAUAAACCGCUUUCGCCUGUGACGAAGCGUGAGUGACGGUAAUGGGUAAAGAAGCACCGGCUAACUACGUG